rnacentral:rRNA from 1 species
UACGGAGGGGGCUAGCGUUGUUCGGAAUUACUGGGCGUAAAGCGCGUGUAGGCGGCCCGGAAAGUCGGAUGUGAAAGCCCUGGGCUUAACCUAGGAAGUGCAUUCGAAACUCUCGGGCUUGAGUUCUGGAGAGGAAGGCGGAAUUCUCGGUGUAGAGGUGAAAUUCGUAGAUAUCGAGAGGAACACCGGUGGCGAAGGCGGCCUUCUGGACAGUGACUGACGCUGAGACGCGAAAGCGUGGGGAGCAAACAGG